AACGCAUCUUGCGCUCCUUGGUAUUCCGAGGAGCAUGCCUGUUUGAGUGUCAUCAAUCUCUCAACUACAUCAAUCUUUCUGGUUUGGUGUAGCCUUUGGAUGUGGGGGUUUUAUUUUGCUGGCCUCUAUUAAACGAGGUCAGCUCCCCUGAAAUUUAUUAGCGGUAUCUGAGCAGAGACCUACUACAGGUGUGAUAAAUUAUCUAUGCCUUGGUAAUGCUGCAUCAACAGAUUGUGCUGCUUCCAGUGAAUCAUUUGACAAAUUUGACCUCAAAUCAGGUAGGACUACCCGCUGAACUUAA
rnacentral:misc_RNA from 1 species